rnacentral:rRNA from 1 species
CGUAACUGACGCUAAUGCUCGAAGGUGCGGGUAUCGAACAGGAUUAGAUACCCUGGUAGUCCGCACGGUAAACGAUGGAUGCCCGCUGUUGGCGAUACAAUGUCAGCGGCCAAGCGAAAGCGUUAAGCAUCCCACCUGGGGAGUACGCCGGCAACGGUGAAACUCAAAGGAAUUGACGGGGGCCCGCACAAGCGGAGGAACAUGUGGUUUAAUUCGAUGAUACGCGAGGAACCUUACCCGGGCUUGAACUGCAGGUGAACGAUACAGAGAUGUUGAGGUCCUUCGGGACACCUGUGGAGGUGCUGCAUGGUUGUCGUCAGCUCGUGCCGUGAGGUGUCGGCUUAAGUGCCAUAACGAGCGCAACCCUUUUCGCGAGUUGCCAUCAGGUAAUGCUGGGGACUCUUGCGAUACUGCCACCGUAAGGUGUGAGGAAGGUGGGGAUGACGUCAAAUCAGCACGGCCCUUACGUCCGGGGCUACACACGUGUUACAAUGGGUGGUACAGAGAGUGGGCCGCACGCAAGUUCGGUCAAAUCAAGAAAGCCAUCCUCAGUUCGGAUUGGGGUCUGCAACCCGACCCCAUGAAGCUGGAUUCGCUAGUA